AGACACGCUCCGACUCCGGUCUGGUGUACGGGUUGCACUCGGACUCUCUGGCUAUUCUGUGUGCUCCCAUCUGACAGCCCACACUUCGCCGCCGUGUGCCUUGGCCGCAGGACACAGAGCACUAAGAAGAAAGACCGUGAGCAUCUGUAUGAUUCUCGGCUGCACGGGAGAACCACAAAUUCACUGAAAGCUCAAAGAGGCCAAAAUCAACAGAGGGGAAGAGCAACAUUAAAUACAGAAUAUACGAAACUGUACCUUAUUAUUUUUAAGCAAGCACCUUCAACCAAGCUGAGAGAAUGUACAAGUAUAGAGUGAAGACAUCAGCUUCAAGGCUUACGUGUGAGAGACUUUGGUUCACACAUCAAUUGUUCAUAGAGGAUAAACUCCAUUUUUCCCAGUCGGUUGGGAAGGAGGUAAAAAAGCCACAUUAGAAACUGAAAGGUAAGCUAGCAGGACUGGCUGCCAGCAGGUUAGAAAUAAGGAAGAAUUGAAAGGCCAAGAGGAAGGACAUACACUGCAAGCCAUUACCAAAUUAAGUCAAGAUUCUCCCGCUGGAAGGAUUUUUGAAAAUCAAGUAGCUAACCAUCACUCUGAGACUGGUGAGCAGAUUUCAGUUUUGAGAGAGGACACUGUACUAAUCCUUAUUUGCCUUGCCCUUGUGAUCCUGUAAAAUAUGAAAGUCACAUCCAAAUCCCUGCAUUUAAAAAAAAUGUUUGGUUGCAUCUUUUACUAACAACAGCUCUUUCUGAUUCUAUUCUCAUUUUGCUUUUGUUGACCAAAACAUAAAGUCAAGCCUCGCCUGAAAAGCAGGCUGUCAGCAAGGACGUGAGGCUUGCAGCCAAGGUUCAGGACUGCCUUUGCCAAUUACGGUGAUGAAUGAAGUGAGUGUGCGGGAGCAUCACAUGAUCAGGAGAGGCAAAACCAGCCAGCACACACUAUCCCCCCCAAGCCAGGAUGAGAGCACAAGGACAUAGACUGGGGGAUCAGAGCGCCCAACACGGCUCAGUGUGGGGGCUGGAAAACCACGGGGCUUGCCACCUAGGAAAAAGACAGUAGCUGCCACUCACACGUGUAUAUGUACUGCCUUCCACACUGGAGGCAGCCAGCAAAUAAUAAUGGAAGUGAAUGAACACAUGAAAAUCGUAGCCGUUAGAGAAGUGUACUAGAAACCAAAUGUCGUGUUUUCCUAAAUGUCACAAAGAAAGAACCACCCGGAAUCUGACCCACAGUGUGACUACUGAACUGAUUUGGCACGAGUCAUUGAGAUUCAAAAAGGCCACCCCAGGACCCCUCUUUCAGUUGGAACAGAACUACUGGAACUCACACCAGCUACCUUCUAUUGAACCCCUUACUGUGAAUGAAAAACUAAGCUGAAAGACACUGGCUUCCGUCAUUUAAUCCCAACGGCAACCCUGUGACUUAGAUGCUAUUAGGAUUCCUUUUUCCAGAUAAGGAGAACCAAAGAGGUGAUAUUACUUGCUCAGGGUCACAAAGCCAGGGACCAGCAGAGUUAGUCUUCAAAUACAUGCACCUCCUGGGCUCCAGAACCACCACUUUCUUCCUUAAACUAUACUGAAGAAAGGGCUUGGUUAAGAAAACAAGCUGUUUACCUCGACUUACCCAAGGCAACAACAAAAAAGCAAGGACCUCAAAGAAAUGUCUCUUGAGACUAUUCUAGAACCCUAUGAUUCCUCAGUCCCUCAGGAAGACAAUACCUGUACAAUGUUAGUAUUUCUGACUUUAUUACUUUCUUCACAGCAUCUUGAGGACCCUGGGAAGAAAGACACUUAGAGUACCAAAAUACAAUCACAUAAAUAAAAGGCCAGAUUUGCCUUUGGCUGAAGCCACACCCUGACUUUCUCCUGGCCACUUUUCAGGGUUUCUUCACCCUGUGGGGUCUGCCUGAUGCCACAUGGCGAAUGGCGGCUUCCGUUCCCUGGUCAAUGAAUGGCUCUUUGCAUGGUCAUGAAUGGAAGGCUGCGGGUUGUCGAUUUGGACCUGCCAAUUCACUAGGACUAAUCUCUCAAAUGCUUGUGCUGUAAGACAUCUCAAAGAUGGCUCAGUCCAUCUAUUUAUCUCACAAAUUCAACACUAGAGACAAGGAGACAUGGCAAGCUCAGGCACACAGCAAGGAAGAAGUAAACACAGGCUUAGGACGCUGAAUACCUGUACCCAGCACAGAACUGUAACCCCCUGGGGACUUGUGGCCAAGUACUGGUGUUCUUCACGUUGCUCAGAAACCAUGGCUGACCAGUCAGUCACCCCGAUUCUUCCCAGGUCAGUCAUGCUCACAAAAAGCUAGCAUGAUAAACAGGGACUAGGAAGGCAGGCGUCGAUUCUACCACCUCUGGCUUUGAUGGAUGGCAGACACCCGUAGGAACAAGAGUAAAUGAUAACAACCUCCUGUUCCAAGCUGCCAGUGAAGAACAAAUUCCAAUGGGUGGGACAUGCAUGAGUGGCAGCACAGGAAACAAAGCUCCCUGCUUGUCUUCACCUUGCUCUAAGAUGCCACAAAUUAAAGGCAUAGGUUUUGGAGUCCGGCACCCCUAGGCUGACACACCAUCUGCCAUUUUACUUCAGUGCCAUUUGGGGCAAAUUACUUAACCUCUCUCAGCUCAGAUUUGUUUUCUGUAAAAUGGGGACCACAGCACUGUCGACAUUCAGCAGAGUCACGUCACAAUUAAGUGGGACACUGCAUACAGUCAGAGCUCUUGGUGUUCUGGCCGAACAGCGUAAAAAUCAUUACACAUUCCCUAUCACCACUACUACUAUUUCUAUUCAGCAGAGUCUUUUAGAAUACCUCCCAACACGUGGAUAGAAAGGGGAGUGUUUUUUUUAAAAAUCCAGGUUAACUAAUGGAGUCUCUGAGAUGAGCAUUCUCACACAGACGUUUGCUGAGUGAAGGAGGGACUUGGGCAAAAAUCUCACCCAUGUGAACGGGGGAAGAGCUUUCCUUUCCAAAGGUCCCAAAGCAAUCCACACAUCAGACAUCAAUGUGGAGAACUCCUCCUCUAGUAGUGCCCUUUUCACUCUUUUCAACUCUUUCUUAUUAAUACGGUCUCCCUGGCCCCAGAAGAUAGGAAGACGAGUAAGAAAAAGAAAGACCCCACAUCCGAAUGCCACGCCUUUUUCCUACUCCACCGUUUCCUGCUCACAUGUAUUAUCUCAAGAACUACUUAUGUUUCUCAUUUGCUUCUUGGGAGGUUAGUCCUUGAAUGUCCCAAAACACAGCCUUCACACCAGUGACCACCGUUACCGAACAGCCGUGCCCUCCCUUCCCAGCUCUGCUCAGCUCUGCCUUGGCAGUGGUCACAGUCCUUUGUGACCUGCUGGGUGUGAGCACAGUGAGGGCUUCUCACAACACAAGAAUGGCUCCGGAUGGGGGGCGUCAGGGGACUAGAAUGACUGGGGCGGGAGAGAGAGCUCUGCCAGCAAACAAGGGCUGUGACUUCAGGGCGUAAAGCCAAUGUUGACAGGUCUGCCUGAUGGCUGUUUCUGGCCAGGACCACCAUGGCACUUAUUACCAUGAAAAGGAGCUGAGAAAGCAGGAGAUUGGCAGGGAACACCAGGGAAGAAAGCAGAUGCGGGAGUCACGGUCGUCCCAGCCGGAUGGGGCAUUAGGCCACCCUUCCAUCCCCACUGCCCCCAACACCGACAGCCUCUGCAAUACUACAAAGGUCGAAGACUAUGGGAGAAAAGGCACUAAGAGUCACAUGUCAGAGCUUGGAGCAUGCUUGAAGGCUGCUGUCAAUAUGAUAGCCAAGUAGGUGGCCCUGCAUAUGUCUCGCACGGGGGAUGGCAGGGCCAUGCCAAUAUGGGGACACAGUAGGAAGGGCUCAUGCCCUCCGCCUCCCCAUCCCCCCCAAGAAUGAUGAGGCACAGGGCUCUCCAGCUACCCCCUCCCUACGUCAUAAUGAAACAACUUCAUAUGAGAGGAGGGGACAUGAAUAUUCACAUUAAAUAGAACAGCAUAGGAAAUCCACUAUGCAAGUUGCAAAAUCCAAAUUGAGGUUCUUUUUGUUCUGCAAGAAUGUUAAAUAUUACGAUGCUUCUCCCCACUGAGACAAAAAACAAAAAUGAAGACAAUCUGCAAAAGCAACACCUGGUGAAUUUUAUCACGGCCACAUCCAGUGGUGCCCUCUGGAAACUGAGGCACAGUACAUCACCUGGCCCUGUGGUCCCUAACAUGCCCUCUGAUUCCCCAUUUUCAAGCACACUGACUAUUUUAAUUCUUUGUAACCUGACUUCAGCAGAAUAAUGAUAUUGGCAUCUUUCAGGUGAAGAUGGUACAAGGACCCACCCUUUGUGCUUGCCACAGGAUUGUCCAUGAAGGCUGUCUGGAAGACAGGGGGAUAGUGGGUGAGAUAUCUGUGCCAGGAUCCUUAUUCUCAGCUAUUGCAAAGUUCCCAAACCAUAGCCAAGUCUUAUCCUUCACCUGCCAUGUGGAUGGAGGAAUACGUGGUUGGGACAAUGAAGGCUGAUGAAAGGAACAGAACCCAAAGUGGUGGACUGUCCUACCAAUGGGAACAGAGAAGAUGCAGCGUUGCCCAAAGAAGAGCUUAGUUUUAGCUCAAGAAACAGUUUGGAAGACAUCUCAAUGCAUUUGAUGGGUUUUAUUUCAGCCAGAGAGCUUUUAGGCAUACAGCCAAACUGAGAGUGAACGUAACAAAUUAAUGAGUGCUUUUAAAAAAGAGACCACCGGAAUGGUUUAGAGUUUAAUUCAGAUGUCACCCUAAAGGGAAAAAUAACACCACCAACAACUAUCUGGCCACUGGAAAAGAAAAUUGAUGACCUCAUCAUUUGAUCUACAGCCAAUGUUGGUGCAUACAUUUUAAUUUCAAGGGGGUGUCAGUGUGGGGCAUGAAUGUGAAUAAAUCCACAAGGGCUUUCUUAACACUGAGGAGGCUAAGUUUUGCCAAGCUAAAUGAUGAGAAUCACAGUGAUGGAGGAGACACUGCCUCAACCCCGAGUCUUCUGAAGUGUCUUUCAAACACACCCCCUUAAAGCUGAUCUCCUCAACCUUUACCCACAGGGCUCAGUGAAUAUGAAAAGCUGCCUUCCUGAAACUCCCUUCAAAAAGGGAAUGAUCUCUUGGAAUCCAAGCUUCUACAAGGUGACUACCUGGUGUUUCCCAUUUUUGUCUUCUCCUAAAAAGCAUCAAUCAAGCCUUGCCCUUUUGGCCCAUUGAACACAUAAACACUCUUUCUCCUUAACUGAACUUACUGCCGCGAUGAACUUGAACUCUAAGAUGCACAAGAGGAGAGUUGUUUUAACAGCUGCUUUUACAUGGAGGCCCUGGAGUUACUACUUUCAGGACAGCUGGUUCUGAUAAGGCUCUCUUUGCACUGUCCUAUUUUUUCUAAUGCCCAGCUGUCAGAGAACACCCACUGCAGAAGCCACACAACAGAAGAAAGGCAGGAGAAUGGUACUCACUUGGAUGUAAGGGCAUCCUACCUCGGGACUCUUUACAAGCUGACAUGGGGUUUUUCUCUCCAACUUUCUUUCAUAAGUUUAUUGAUUUCUUGGCUAGUUGAGUAUUAACUGCUAAAGACGCACUGUUGUCUGAGGUUGCCCUGUCCAAUAUGGUAGCCACCAGCCACAGGUGGCUGGUUAAAUUAGAGUAAUUAAAAUGAAAUGCAAUGUAAAGGGGAGUAUCCCUGUUGCACUUAGCCACAUUUCAAGUGCUCCAUAUUAGCCACAUGGGGCUAGUAGCUUCCAUACUGGAAAGUAAAAAUAGAAAACAUUUCCAUCAUUGUAGAAAGUUACCAGACUGCAUUGGCCGAGGCAUAUGCUCUUUCUAAUAAGAGAAAGGGGAUGCAGAUCUGGCUAAGAAUAAUAGUUUUUUAGGCUCAGCCUUUAUUGAUUACUUUCCACACUACUUCCUGCACACUCUUUUUUUUUUUUUGGCUUGCCAAUGUUCCAUUUUAUAAAUUUUUGGAAAGGGAAGUUGUGGUCUUUAAAACCACCCAUGAAAAUGAUCCCACUUUAGAGGAAAUAAAACAACAAGAAGCGAAGGUGGUGGCGUGGCAAUCCACACAUUCCAGAUCUUUUUAUUGGUAAUCAUUAAAUAACACAGGGGAAAAUAAACCUCAGCCAGGACUUCCCACGCUUGUGUGGAGGCUGAGAACACUAGCAGGGGGAGAUGGAAAGCCAGAGGCCCUCUGCUUACCCUGGCUCUCAGACCACUGAACUCAUGUCUGGGUUAUAACGUAAGGGUGAAUAGAAGCACACUCUCUGAUAGGAGGUUUUUUAAAAGUUCCAUGCCACCAGCCAGGGAGCAUUUAUCCCUGAAAAUGAUUGUGUAAUUGUACAUUUAAAAGGAAAGAUAGGAGUGAUAAUUUUUAUUUAGUGAACAAAGAUCAUUAGGAACGCUGUGUGUUCUUCUCAGAGCAAUCUGUAUUUUUGUUUUUGUGAUUGUAAUGAGGCUGCCAGAGAAAAAAGCGUCAGUUCUUUAAUUACAUGUAUAAUUGGUUUUAUUUGUUUAAUACCAUAUUUUCUCCUUCUCCACUUGAAUGUAUCGCUCUGACUUGUUCACUGCUGUAUCCUUAGCACCUAGAACAGUGCCUGGCUCACAGUCGGCACGUAAAAAGUAUUUGCUGAAAAAUAAAUGAUGACCACUCCCCCCUUUUUUUUAAAGGAAUGACCUAGAAUUAUUUACUCCCUCUCCAUAAAAUAAAUCUUCCUCGACUGCCUUUACUAAUCAGGAUUCCCUCCCAACCAAUUAGACGUGGACUCAAUCUCUACCUCCCACUCCACAUUCCAAAGUUCCCAUUCCUUCCCGUUCCGGAGGGACAACUCGCUGACGGGGGUCACUGAGGAGACCUAUACUCCUCCUCAGGGUCUAAUAACUCUCCUAUCCCUGCUUCCCCCACCUUUGGACUUUUAAAAACUGCAAAAAUAGAAAUCUGUCAAGCUAUCAUGAAAUAUGAGCUGUCAGGAGGCAGGAACAGAGUCUCCCAUAGGCAUACAAUCACUGUAAACAAUGAAAAACCAAAAAAGCCCGCUAAGUUUUAUCUCCAAUUAGAUAGAUGCGGGCCAGUGUUUUGCUUGUUUUGAUUAAAAAAAAAAAAAAAACAAGUCUUAUUUUUAAUACUCCAUAUUGAUAGAGCCAAAUAAUGUAUUUCUUAUUUCUUUUUUUAAAAGGCACCAGCAGUAUAUUUAAGAUGUGUCUUCAUUAGUAAAAAAAAAAAAAAAAAAAUCUCGUUUAUAAAAAAUGCAUAUGCAUUUAAUGUGAUAUUCCUUAUGGUCAAAAUCUUUAUAUCCUCCUCCUAAUCUGGCUAAUGUGAUAACAUUAAAAUGAAACAAAUGUUUUGCCAUUCCCAAAACAUAACCAGUUGUUUGAAGUGUUUAUAAUCACUGGUUAUGGGAAUUUACCAAUACAGAAAUAAAUUUGGAAUUUCUGUGGCUGGAGUCAAACAGACAAUAUCAAUAUUAGCUAAAUAAUGUUGAGGUUGAUGAAGUCUGAGUUUUAGGUAUACCCUUUAUUGAAUAUCAACAGGAGUUUAAAAAAUCAUUCUGAAUAUGGCUGUUUCUAUCACAUGAAGCAGGAUUAAUACAGUCAGUAUACUGACACUGACAUUUUAUUACAGUAGAUGAUCACAUAGUCAAAUGGAGUCAUAAAAGCACCACCCUCAUGGGGUAACAUGGGGGCUAAAUAUGAUGUGUGUUUGCUUAACUUGGCUUGGUACGUAGUAAAUACUCUGUAAAAGUUAGCUAUCGUCAUCUGCUUUGGAGAAGUUAUCUUAUUUCACACCUUAUAUAAACCUCAAACUCACAUAAGGACUCCCUGAUUUUGGUCCUUUCAACCCUCAAUUACCAUACUAAACCACAUGUCAAAUAGAGGCUCAACAGGGGCACAUGGAACCAAUAGGCAUCAGGGGUCAUCUUUAUGAAGUACACUUUCUUCAAAACUGCAGGCUCUCUUAAAAUUUCCAAGUUUGAUGUGAUCAUAUUUUAUUUUUCUUUAAUAAGAAAUUCUUUCUGAAAUGUAUUGCAGGUGAACAAAUAACAAAACUGACAAACAUUGAAGUCUUUCAUGGUUAUCUGAACACAAAGAAUAAGGUGUGAUCAAAUUUGUGCACAUUAGGUUAGUGUUUUCCUGUCCCUAGCUCUUCUUACAUAUUUAGAACCAUUUCUUUUAAUCAUUCGUUUUGUCUUCUGGCUAUGUUUUAUCAUUAUCUACAAAUUCAAUAAAUGGAGCAUUCAUAUUUCAUAGUUGAGACUCAGUGAAUCAGGACAACAGUAUUAGAAAAGAAAAAAACCCAACAAAAUGUUAAGCCUUGUAUAUUUUUGUUUAUAUCCUAAGCAUCAUUUCCAAUUCAGAAUUUUUUUUUAAGUAUCCCUUUAAAAUACACAUUUUAAACUACCCAAUUACAUAAAGCUUGCCCAGGUUGGCCGCUCAGGUUUGGGAGAGGGACGGUACAGGUUGGAGGGGAUUUACAAAAUUAAAAUGUAUCUUUUAAAACCAAAAGAAACAUACACAUGCAUUUCUAAUUCACAUAGCCUAUUUGCCUUUACAGUUUGCUGAUAAACACUGAUUUUUAAACAUUGUAUAUAAAAUUAAAUAACAUGGAAAAAAUAAAUAUGCUUUAUUAUAUAAACACAUAGAAAUCUGUACCGCUCAAAAUAUUCAGAUAAUACUAGGCUUGGCUGCUCAAAACUGUAUUCAGAAAGUAUGGUAGUGAUAUUUACAGUCUUUAUUUUUGCUAGAGAUAGAUGCAGUGAGGUGAUAAAAUACUGUUGUCAGACAUUUUCUCUUCCUACCUAAGGAAGCUGCAAACUUUAAUAUGGAAAAUGAGGUAGACACAAAUUCAUAAGUUGGCCAGGCAGAAACAAAAGCACAGUUCCUUCGUGAGCUCAUAAAUUCUCAUUAUUUGGGUCGACAAGCAUUAUUCCAAAGCACCUAAAGCAAGGCUCAGAGAACACUUUCAGGUUUGUCGUGAAAAACCCCAACAAGCAGUUUCUCCUAAGGAGAACCACGGUCUCCAAGAUGAUCAGCAAGCAGGUACAUGGGGCAUGGCAGAAAGGAAUGCUACAGGACCAGCUUGGAGAGGUGAUAUCACCUGCAACCUCUGUUACUUUCCUUAUCUCGAUGGAUCUGCUUACUGUUGCUGUUGCGGAUUUUUAACCUGCUUUGUGCUGUGGUUUGACAGCACAGAGCACUCUUUCCAAUGUAUUCUCUAGUGAUGGGACAUGGGCAUUCCCUCCUCAGUCUGCUCCCAGAACUCCGCUCCCAGGCCCGACUGCAGGAGCCGACUGAAAGGCAUAUCAGGGUAAGAACCUUAUUUUGAAAUCAGCACGUUACCAAGUAAGAGUGCAAGGACACAUCCAAAAUAGGACAGAAAAGGCUGGAUUUUUGGAGGCUGUUUUUCACCAUCUUGAUUCUAAAUCUGCAAGGACACGAGCCAGAACUAAGGGUCUAAAACAGGCACUUGAACCUGACGUUCACCUAAGCUUCAUUUUAGAGACUCUGGCAGCCACGCUAACGGUGAUGUGGGUUUCUUUCCUAAAUAUCGAAAUACCUAAAAACCCUAAAUACCGUAACAAUUGUUGAAUGAGGCCAUCUCCCUUUUGACCUUGGAAAAGGCCUAUUCGCACAGCAGCAAGUUGCUUCUGAACACUAUCUCUAGUAGGGGGAAAAUCUGGGGAGAGAAAGCAAAACCUACUGAAGGACUAAUUGCUACCCUCGGUCUCUAAUAAAUCGAGUUGGCUUUCAAGAGAAAGCAACGCGUUAGCACCUCAAGUAUACUUUUUGUUGUUGUUAAUUUCACUGUCAGUUACAAUGAUGAAGCACCAUAGGAGUGGCUUUAUGGCUAUUAACACGAUUCACUGAGGUAUGCUUAAAUUUAGAAUUGCUCAGAAAUUGUACCAAAGCAUCCACGAAAAUCAACAUAAAAGUAAAAUCAAAGUCCUACAAGUAAGAACCUGAAAGACUGCCCUCACACACAUAUUUAAGUAAUAUAUUACAGAUGUAUCUACUUAAAUAAAAUGCUUUUGAUUUCAUUUUUUAAAAAAUCACAAUGAGAAGCCUUGCACAGGUGGCCUUGCUCCUAGACUGCAGAGGCAUUUAAAUAUAUACUCGAGUAACGAUCGCUUUACAAAGGAAGCAUGAAAAUCAUACUGGUGGCAAAAAUAGUUUCAAAAUCCAUGUAUUCUCUUCUGUGUAUAACAGGGCAUUAGCAUCUCUUUCCCUCUCUUUUUCUGUGUGUGUUUCAGAAAACUGUGUGCAGGCCUAAGAAGAACAACUACAAUAAAAAUCUUAAUGUUUUCAGUUAAAUUAGCAGGUCAUAUUUUAAGAUUUAAGCAUUUAAGCUCUUAAAACAUCUGUGGGAGAGGGUGGUGAUCCUGUGUAAAAAAAUUUGAGUGGUAUUUAGAAAGCAUUCAAGGAUGAGAAUGCCAUGGAAACAAAUAUAAUAUACAUUAUACAUUGUAUAUAAUGUGUAUACAUACACAUAUAUGCAUACAGUAUAUAAUAUUUUAUGAUUAUACACACACGUGCGCACACACACACACACACACACACACACACACACACACCCCCUCUGAAGGGUAGGGGAUAUUUUUGGGUCAAAAUUAAAGAAAAACAACUUUUUAGAGGGCUAGUAGUUUCUGAGACACAACUCUGAUGUGGUGUUGCUGUUGGCUGAAUGAACAAGGUAAAAAUAUCAUGGGCUCAAGAGGGACAAUUUCAUGAAAAAUAAUCUGUCAUAGGUGACUGAGGGAAGCAGGGAAUGCUGGGGGAUGUUCCUGACAUUCCAUGGUCAUUUCUGAUCUUUUUCACAAUGUUCACUUUGGGAGGGUGCCAGUACUGCAAACAAAAUGUUUCGGGUGAAUAUAUAUCUGACUCCGAGUGGCAUUUCUUAAGCUCUUGAAUGAAAGCCUGACAGCCCAGCUAACUAGUACCAGGAGAGAUGAUACUACUCUACAUUUCUCUAGCUUUCUACUUAAGACUAAGUACAACGGUUAUAGAGCUAGGUUCUACCUGCAGACACAAUCUCAGAUCCUGAAACCCUUGGUUCUUAGAAGCAUCAACAGGUAUUAGUCAUUUCACUUCAGUUAAUCUGUUCUUUAUCUGGUUUCAGGAAUGGUUAGGACUUUUCCUCCAAACCCUAUAGAAUAAAAAAGGCUUGCAGAUAUGACUUCAUAUACUACUAAAUUCAGAUUCAGUGCAAUUAAUGUAUUUACAGAAACAUUUACUCUAUUUACAUGAACCAGCCCUAACGGCUCCACGGAUUACAACACAACUUAGCGAAAGUACUGCUUUGACAUAGCCGACUUUCUGUUUGCCAAGAGCUGCCCCAGAAGUUUGCAUAGUAUUUACAGUGGCAAACCUGUCUCGCGAUGUCAGCUAAGCAGAUAGCAAGGGAAGCCUAGGACCAAAGCAAAAAAAUCGUCUCAAGCGACGGGCUUUGUGUCUUGGGGAAAGAGAGAGAACAUUUCGGAUACCUUGAAAGGCUCCAAGUCAUGGAGUCCAGUGUUGUUGGUCUAUUGCAUUUUCACAAUGAUUUCAGUCUAUUUUGUGGGCACAGCCUUUGUGGUCACUGAGUUGAGUAUGUACCCAAGUCACAUAGAGGCAAAUUAUAGUCACAGAAGAAAAAAUUGCUUUGGCCUCAAUAUGCAGGUAUCUUCCCCCAAAAGUCAAAACUCCCACAGUUUAGGAAAGGAAAGAAUGUCUGCUAUUGAGUUGUCCGCUGAAAUCACUUUGGAGCUUCAUAACUACAAGAAACUUAUUUCAUUUCUUUAAAAUAUCUACAUAGACAGUCUUGCUUUUCUAAAAAAAAAUAAAACAAACAACAAAAAAACCAGAAGCUACUUCUUGACAUUGGCCCCAGGCCUAUAUGAGGUACACGUAUUUCUGUAAAGUCACUUUGGCAAAGUCACAAAACAUUAAUUCUGUUGUGUGUCAGUAUGAAAGAAAUCAUAGACCACAGCCCAGUUUCAGGGAUGCCCUUGUGAUUAGGACAACUGUGUGUCGCCGAGGAGUGCCCCAGAAUACCCUGGAAUUGGGUCUGUUAGUUAAGAUAGUUUGGUUAACAAAC